GAUGAACGCUGGCGGCGUGCCUAAUACAUGCAAGUCGAGCGAACAGACGAGGAGCUUGCUCCUCUGACGUUAGCGGCGGACGGGUGAGUAACACGUGGAUAACCUACCUAUAAGACUGGGAUAACUUCGGGAAACCGGAGCUAAUACCGGAUAAUAUAUUGUACCGCAUGGUUCAAUAGUGAAAGACGGUUUUGCUGUCUCUUAUAGAUGGAUCCGCGCCGCAUUAGCUAGUUGGCAAGGUAACGGCUUACCAAGGCAACGAUGCGUAGCCGACCUGAGAGGGUGAUCGGCCACACUGGAACUGAGACACGGUCCAGACUCCUACGGGAGGCAGCAGUAGGGAAUCUUCCGCAAUGGGCGAAAGCUUGACGGAGCAACGCCGCGUGAGUGAUGAAGGUCUUCGGAUCGUAAAACUCUGUUAUUAGGGAAGAACAAAUGUGUAAGUAACUAUGCACGUCUUGACGGUACCUAAUCAGAAAGCCACGGCUAACUACGUG
rnacentral:rRNA from 1 species